rnacentral:rRNA from 1 species
AUCAUGGCUCAGAUUGAACGCUGGCGGCAGGCCUAACACAUGCAAGUCGAGCGGAUGAAGAGAGCUUGCUCUCUGAUUCAGCGGCGGACGGGUGAGUAAUGCCUAGGAAUCUGCCUGGUAGUGGGGGACAACGUUUCGAAAGGAACGCUAAUACCGCAUACGUCCUACGGGAGAAAGCAGGGGACCUUCGGGCCUUGCGCUAUCAGAUGAGCCUAGGUCGGAUUAGCUAGUUGGUGAGGUAAUGGCUCACCAAGGCGACGAUCCGUAACUGGUCUGAGAGGAUGAUCAGUCACACUGGAACUGAGACACGGUCCAGACUCCUACGGGAGGCAGCAGUGGGGAAUAUUGGACAAUGGGCGAAAGCCUGAUCCAGCCAUGCCGCGUGUGUGAAGAAGGUCUUCGGAUUGUAAAGCACUUUAAGUUGGGAGGAAGGGCAGUAACUUAAUACGUUGCUGUUUUGACGUUACCGACAGAAUAAGCACCGGCUAACUCUGUGCCAGCAGCCGCGGUAAUACAGAGGGUGCAAGCGUUAAUCGGAAUUACUGGGCGUAAAGCGCGCGUAGGUGGUUUGUUAAGUUGGAUGUGAAAGCCCCGGGCUCAACCUGGGAACUGCAUUCAAAACUGACAAGCUAGAGUAUGGUAGAGGGUGGUGGAAUUUCCUGUGUAGCGGUGAAAUGCGUAGAUAUAGGAAGGAACACCAGUGGCGAAGGCGACCACCUGGACAAAGACUGACGCUCAGGUGCGAAAGCGUGGGGAGCAAACAGGAUUAGAUACCCUGGUAGUCCACGCCGUAAACGAUGUCGAUUUGGAGGCUGUGUCCUUGAGACGUGGCUUCCGGAGCUAACGCGUUAAAUCGACCG